rnacentral:tRNA from 1 species
GCUGACUUAGCUCAGUUGGUAGAGCACGUCACUAGUAAUGAUGGGGUCGGAGGUUCGAAUCCUCUAGUCAGCACUA